UACGAAGGGGGCUAGCGUUGUUCGGAAUCACUGGGCUUAAAGCGCACGUAGGCGGAUCUUUAAGUCAGGGGUGAAAUCCCGAGGCUCAACCUCGGAACUGCCUUUGAUACUGGGGAUCUCGAGUCCGGAAGAGGUAAGUGGAACUGCGAGUGUAGAGGUGAAAUUCGUAGAUAUUCGCAAGAACACCAGUGGCGAAGGCGGCUUACUGGUCCGGAACUGACGCUGAGGUGCGAAAGCGUGGGGAGCAAACAGG
rnacentral:rRNA from 1 species